rnacentral:rRNA from 1 species
GACGUAGGGCGCGAGCGUUGUCCGGAUUUAUUGGGCGUAAAGAGCUCGUAGGCGGCUUGUCGCGUCGACUGUGAAAACCCGCGGCUCAACUGCGGGCCUGCAGCCGAUACGGGCAGGCUAGAGUUCGGUAGGGGAGACUGGAAUUCCUGGUGUAGCGGUGAAAUGCGUAGAUAUCAAGAGGAACACCUGCGGCGAAGGCGGGUUGCUGGGCCGACACUGACGCUGAGGCGCGAAAGCCAGGGGAGCGAACGGG